UAACGCGUGGGCAACCUGCCUCAUACAGGGGGAUAGCAUCGGGAAACUGGUGGUAAAACCGCAUAAGCGCACGAAGACGCAUGUAUUCGUGUGAAAAGGAGAAAUCUGGUAUGAGAUGGACCCGCGUCUGAUUAGCUAGUUGGAGUGGUAAAGGCUCACCAAGGCGACGAUCAGUAGCCGGCCUGAGAGGGCGACCGGCCACAUUGGGACUGAGACACGGCCCAGACUCCUACGGGAGGCAGCAG
rnacentral:rRNA from 1 species